rnacentral:rRNA from 1 species
AGAGUUUGAUCAUGGCUCAGAUUGAACGCUGGCGGCAGGCCUAACACAUGCAAGUCGAGCGGUAGCACAGAGAGCUUGCUCUCGGGUGACGAGCGGCGGACGGGUGAGUAAUGUCUGGGAAACUGCCUGAUGGAGGGGGAUAACUACUGGAAACGGUAGCUAAUACCGCAUAAUGUCGCAAGACCAAAGUGGGGGACCUUCGGGCCUCAUGCCAUCAGAUGUGCCCAGAUGGGAUUAGCUAGUAGGUGGGGUAAUGGCUCACCUAGGCGACGAUCCCUAGCUGGUCUGAGAGGAUGACCAGCCACACUGGAACUGAGACACGGUCCAGACUCCUACGGGAGGCAGCAGUGGGGAAUAUUGCACAAUGGGCGCAAGCCUGAUGCAGCCAUGCCGCGUGUGUGAAGAAGGCCUUCGGGUUGUAAAGCACUUUCAGCGGGGAGGAAGGCGGUGAGGUUAAUAACCUCAUCGAUUGACGUUACCCGCAGAAGAAGCACCGGCUAACUCCGUGCCAGCAGCCGCGGUAAUACGGAGGGUGCAAGCGUUAAUCGGAAUUACUGGGCGUAAAGCGCACGCAGGCGGUCUGUCAAGUCGGAUGUGAAAUCCCCGGGCUCAACCUGGGAACUGCAUUCGAAACUGGCAGGCUAGAGUCUUGUAGAGGGGGGUAGAAUUCCAGGUGUAGCGGUGAAAUGCGUAGAGAUCUGGAGGAAUACCGGUGGCGAAGGCGGCCCCCUGGACAAAGACUGACGCUCAGGUGCGAAAGCGUGGGGAGCAAACAGGAUUAGAUACCCUGGUAGUCCACGCUGUAAACGAUGUCGAUUUGGAGGUUGUGCCCUUGAGGCGUGGCUUCCGGAGCUAACGCGUUAAAUCGACCGCCUGGGGAGUACGGCCGCAAGGUUAAAACUCAAAUGAAUUGACGGGGGCCCGCACAAGCGGUGGAGCAUGUGGUUUAAUUCGAUGCAACGCGAAGAACCUUACCUGGUCUUGACAUCCACAGAACUUACCAGAGAUGGAUUGGUGCCUUCGGGAACUGUGAGACAGGUGCUGCAUGGCUGUCGUCAGCUCGUGUUGUGAAAUGUUGGGUUAAGUCCCGCAACGAGCGCAACCCUUAUCCUUUGUUGCCAGCGGUUCGGCCGGGAACUCAAAGGAGACUGCCAGUGAUAAACUGGAGGAAGGUGGGGAUGACGUCAAGUCAUCAUGGCCCUUACGACCAGGGCUACACACGUGCUACAAUGGCAUAUACAAAGAGAAGCGACCUCGCGAGAGCAAGCGGACCUCAUAAAGUAUGUCGUAGUCCGGAUUGGAGUCUGCAACUCGACUCCAUGAAGUCGGAAUCGCUAGUAAUCGUAGAUCAGAAUGCUACGGUGAAUACGUUCCCGGGCCUUGUACACACCGCCCGUCACACCAUGGGAGUGGGUUGCAAAAGAAGUAGGUAGCUUAACCUUCGGGAGGGCGCUUACCACUUUGUGAUUCAUGACUGGGGUGAAGUCGUAACAAGGUAACCGUAGGGGAACCUGCGGUUGGAUCACCU